AUGUACGUACUUGUUUCCCAUUUAAGCGCUGUCGAUCUUGAGGGUCUCGACGAACCUCCGGUACGCCUUGACGUUGGUGGGCAGGAAGUCGAGGAAGUCAUGGAAGCUGCUCUCCCUGUACAUCCUCGGGUGUCCCUCGUCGACGAGCUCCUCGGCGCACCCGACCUUCUCGUCCAUCGCCGCGCCGUGGAUGCUGGCGAUGGAGACCCUCGCCUCGUCGGUGUUGAGGAUGGCCCGGUGCAGGAGGGACCGGAGCCGGCCGUUGCUGAGCACCUCCAGGUGGUCGCCGAGGUGGACAUGGAGCGCCCCCGGGAUGACCGGGACGGGCGUCCAGGCGCCGCCGUCGUCGUGGUGCGUCACCUCGAGCCCCGGCGAGCUCUGCAGCAGGAUGGUGAUGAAGCCGAUGUCGGAGUGCGGCGCCAGCCCGACCGUGUCGCCCGCCCGGGACGACCCCUGCGGGUAGUUGUUGAGCGCCAUGAACUGCAGUCCUGCUUCGAGCUUCUCCUCAAGGUACAUUGGGCUGAGCCCCAGCCCCUGCACGAUGGCCCCCAUGAGCUGCAUUGA
rnacentral:rRNA from 1 species